CCUAGUAGUCACGGUGGAAGCCCUCCAAGUUAUCAAAUAACAGUAUAUGCUCGUCGUUACGUAACUUGCUAUUAAUUGUAUGCUUGAGAAAAUAUACAGAAUAUUUUUAAAGUAAAAAGUUAUUAUUUAUAUAAAAUUUUAAUUUUAGUUAUAUAUAAUUGGAUAGUUUAAUUCAAUAUUUAUCUAUAUAAUUUAUUUAUUUUUGACUGCAUAAAUAAAAAUGAAUAAUUUGGAGAUUGAAGGCGGAAGCGAAGAUAUGUGAGCCUGAAAAGAUUAAGUAUUCAACUCAUAAAUUAUUUUUCUUCAUAUUAUAAUAUUAUAUUUUAUAGAAUUAUUUUGUACUUUGAACUAUUAGACGUAUUUUUGUAUCAAAUUAUAGAUAGUAUCCUAUAUAAAUUAAACUAUUGAUCGUAUGAUGUUGAAAAUUUCAAGCGGCUCGUUUAGGGCUCGAGCUCGCUCGACUCGAAAUUUGGCUUGCUCGAGCUCGGCUCGAAUUAAUUUCAAUCCAAGCUUGAGCUUAAAUUUAGGCUCGAAAUUAAUUUCAAGUCGAAUUUGAGCCAAGGUAAACUCGCUCGAGCUCGGCUCGUUUCCACCCCUACCCAUCACAAGCACCAUGUUUGUUUUAAAAAAUUAUAACAUGCUAUUAAUUAACUAGGGGUUUUUAAAAAAGACUCAGGUUAUAUAUUAUGAGUUCGACUAGUAUACUAUUAAUAAUAAAUAAAUAAUAUUUAACUGUUUAUUACAGUAGAUAAUAAGUUUAGGCAUCGAAGUAUUAAAAGAAUUUAUAGUUUGCACUUUUCACACACUAUUAAUAAUUUUUAAUGAAUUAUAACAUUCUAUUAACUUAGGAUUUUUUUUAAAAAAAAAAUUGUAUAUUUUAUUAUUCUAUUCGGCCAAUUUGCAUAAAAAAUCCACUGGUUUUGAGCUUUUGCAAAACCGGACAACCAUUUUCGUUUUUGCAGAUUCAAUCCACUUUUUCAAAAAGAUGACCAAACUACCCCUCUUUCAAAAUGCAUCGUUAAUAGUGCAACAUUCUCAUAAAGAGUGCAACAUAGUCUCAAAUAGUGCAACAUUCUCUUCCAAAUAGUGCAAUAUAUGCAUCGUUAAUACAUAUAUUGCAUGAUUUUUAUACAAAAUUACGAAUAAUAUAAUAUAUUACGUGAAAAUAACACGAAAAUAAUAUAAUAUAUUACAAUAUACUAUAAAAAUCAUGUAUUAUAUGUAUAAACGGUGAAUAUUUUACACUAUUUGUACAAAUAUUUACACCAUUUGCAUAGAUGUUGCACUAUUAUGAGAGAAUAUUGCACUAUUUAGAUAUUAUGUUGCACUCUUUCUUUUUAAAAAUUAAAAUGUAUUGUAUAUUAAAUAAAGUGUUAAAUUUCUUAGAAAUGAUAACUGCUAAGUCAUAAUUACAUGUACCUUUAUNUAAAUAAAAAUAAAUUAUGUAUAUAUAUAUAUAUAUAUAUAUAAUUUAUUCGGGUUUGGAUUCGGAUAAUAUUUCGAAUAUCCAUACAUAUUGACAUCUCUACUCCCUAUUCCUCUUUUCAAUAUACAAAAAAUACGUAUUAGACACGGUGAACCAUUCACUGUGUUCAAACACGUGAAUGGUUCACCGUAUUCAACUUAAUACACAGCCCUGGCCCUGCCCGCAUGGCGUUGACGUGACGCCUGCGUGGCCGGCCCAGAGCUAUUUUUGUAAAUUAAAUUUUGACAGAAUUAUUUUUAAAAUAAAAAUUUGCUAGGAGACUAAAUUCAAAAAAAGCCUUUGAUUACAACAUUGCACGGC
rnacentral:lncRNA from 1 species